AAGGGUAUAGCUCAGUGGUAGAGCGCAUGCUUAGCAUUCACGAGGUCCUAGGUUCAUUCCCUAGUAUCUUCA
rnacentral:tRNA from 1 species